GCCUGCAGGUGGCUCAGUUGGUUAGAGCGUGGUGCUGAUAAAGCCAAGGUCAUGGGUUUGAUCCCCGUAGGGGCA